rnacentral:rRNA from 1 species
UACGUAGGGACCAAGCGUUGUUCGGAUUUACUGGGCGUAAAGGGCGCGUAGGCGGCAAUUCAAGUCAUCUGUGAAAUCUCCGGGCUUAACUCGGAACGGUCAGAUGAUACUGCUUUGCUAGAGUGCGGAAGGGGCAAUCGGAAUUCUCGGUGUAGCGGUGAAAUGCGUAGAGAUUGGAAAGAACACCGAUGGCGAAGGCACUCUACUGGGCUAGAACUGACACUCAGAGACGAAAGCUAGGGGAGCAAAUGGG